UACGAAGGGGGCUAGCGUUGCUCGGAAUUAUUGGGCGUAAAGCGCGUGUAGGCGGCUUUGCAAGUCGGGUGUGAAAUCCCUCAGCUUAACUGAGGAAGUGCGCCCGAAACUGCAGAGCUUGAGUACCGGAGAGGAUGGUGGAAUUCCCCAAGUAGAGGUGAAAUUCGUAGAUAUGGGGAGGAACACCGGUGGCGAAGGCGACCAUCUGGACGGAUACUGACGCUGAGACGCGAAAGCGUGGGGAGCAAACAGG
rnacentral:rRNA from 1 species